GGGGAAUAUUGGACAAUGGGCGCAAGCCUGAUCCAGCCAUACCGCGUGUGUGAAGAAGGCCUUCGGGUUGUAAAGCACUUUAAGUAAGGAAGAAAAGAGUAUUGUUAAUACCAAUACUCCGUGACAUUACUUACAGAAUAAGGACCGGCUAAUUCCGUGCCAGCAGCCGCGGUAAUACGGAAGGUCCAAGCGUUAAUCGGAAUUACUGGGCGUAAAGCGCGCGUAGGUGGUUUAUUAAGUUGGGUGUGAAAGCCCCGGGCUCAACCUGGGAACUGCAUCCAAAACUGAUUCACUAGAGUACGAAAGAGGAAAGUAGAAUUCACAGUGUAGCGGUGGAAUGCGUAGAUAUUGUGAAGAAUACCGAUGGCGAAGGCAGCUUUCUGGUUCUGUACUGACACUGAGGUGCGAAAGCGUGGGUAGCGAAC
rnacentral:rRNA from 1 species